rnacentral:rRNA from 1 species
GAUGAACGCUGGCGGCGUGCCUAAUACAUGCAAGUCGAGCGAACGGACGAGAAGCUUGCUUCUCUGAUGUUAGCGGCGGACGGGUGAGUAACACGUGGAUAACCUACCUAUAAGACUGGGAUAACUUCGGGAAACCGGAUCUAAUACCGGAUGAUAUUUUGAACCGCAUGGUUCAAAAGUGAAAGACGGUCUUGCUGUCACUUAUAGAUGGAUCCGCGCUGCAUUAGCUAGUUGGUAAGGUAACGGCUUACCAAGGCAACGAUGCAUAGCCGACCUGAGAGGGUGAUCGGCCACACUGGAACUGAGACACGGUCCAGACUCCUACGGGAGGCAGCAGUAGGGAAUCUUCCGCAAUGGGCGAAAGCCUGACGGAGCAACGCCGCGUGAGUGAUGAAGGUCUUCGGAUCGAAAAACUCUGUUAUUAGGGAAGAACAUAUGUGUAAGUAACUGUGCACAUCUUGACGGUACCUAAUCAGAAAGCCACGGCUAACUACGUG